GACGAACGCUGGCGGCGUGCUUAACACAUGCAAGUCGAACGAUGAAGCCGGAGCUUGCUCUGGUGAAUUAGUGGCGAACGGGUGAGUAACACGUGAGUAACCUGCCCUUGACUCUGGGAUAACUGCGGGAAACUGUAGCUAAUACCGGAUACGACCCUCGGAGGCAUCUCCUGGGGUGGGAAAGAAUUUCGGUGAAGGAUGGACUCGCGGCCUAUCAGCUAGUUGGUGAGGUAAAGGCUCACCAAGGCGACGACGGGUAGCCGGCCUGAGCGGGUGACCGGCCACACUGGGACUGAGACACGGCCCAGACUCCUACGGGAGGCAGCAGUGGGGAAUAUUGCACAAUGGGCGCAAGCCUGAUGCAGCAACGCCGCGUGAGGGAUGACGGCCUUCGGGUUGUAAACCUCUUUUAGCAGGGAAGAAGCGAAAGUGACGGUACCUGCAGAAAAAGCACCGGCUAACUACGUGCCAGCCGCCGCCGUAA
rnacentral:rRNA from 1 species